GUGGGGAUUCUUCCGCAAUGGACGAAAGUCUGACUGAGCAACGCCGCGUGAGUGAAGAAGGUUUUCGGAUCGUAAAGCUCUUUCGUUAGGGACGAACGUGCUCUUUGUGAAUAAUGAGGAGUAAUGACGGUACCUAAAUAAGAAGCCACGGCUAACUACGUGCCAGCAGCCGCGGUAAUACGUAGGUGGCAAGCGUUGUCCGGAAUUAUUGGGCGUAAAGCGCGCGCAGGCGGGAUAUCAAGUCUGUCUUAAAAGUGCGAGGCUCAACCUCGUGAGGGGACAGAAACUGGUAUUCUUGAGUGUCGGAGAGGAAAGUGGAAUUCCAAGUGUAGCGGUGAAAUGCGUAGAGAUUUGGAAGAACACCAGUGGCGAAGGCGACUUUCUGGACGAUGUCUGACGCUGAGGCGCGAAAGCUAGGGGAGCGAACGGGAUUAGAUACCCGAGUAGUCC
rnacentral:rRNA from 1 species